rnacentral:lncRNA from 1 species
CUUUAUUCGACUAAACAAAAAGUUCAAUUAUUUAUAAAUGUUCUCAAACUUCGAAAGACAUCAGCUAUUCAUAAAAUGAUGUAGCUCCAUGAACUCAAAAGAGUUAACAUGACAUUCACGAAAUUAACUUCGGAUCAUAAGUGUUGCUUGGUCACACGAACUACUUUUAAGCGCACAUUAUGGCCAUGGCUAUAUUAAUAUAUACUCAAAUUACAAGACAUUUUGGUGCUAGUUAGUAACAAUACAACAACUGGUCAGCUAACCGGAAGAGACAUGUCACCUCUCUCUCUUUACCCUCUGCAAAAAGCCACCCACUCCAAAGAUUUCUUCGACUCUCCAUAUACGCACAGUCUUCAAUUCUUCUCAUAUUAGCAAAAGACUUCGCCCCUGCGUGAAAUCGAUUUUUUUGAAGAUUGAUAUAGGGCCGGCCCAGAGACUUCACCUACCACUUGACACAAAUGGACGAAUGAGCCCUUAU